rnacentral:lncRNA from 1 species
GGGGCGGUGGCCGCGGAGCCCCCCUGUCCCCUGGGCUUCGGGCCGGUGGCGGCCGGUGGCUGCGGGGACAGGGACGAGUGUCGCACCCGCAUCUGCCACCACAUGUGCCUCAACCACCACGGGGGCUUCGCCUGUCACUGCCACCCCGGCUACGUCCUGCAGCCCGACGGGGCCGCCUGCCGCCCCCGCCGCCGCUCGCACCAGGCCUUGCACGAGGCCUCGCACCAGGGCUCGCACCGGGGCUGGCAGCGGGGGCCACGGCGGAGGAAGAGGCCGCUGGGGGGUUGGCGGCCCCCCGGGCUGCGGCGGGCGGCGGGGCGAGGAGGGGCGCCGGAGGGUUCGCACGAGGGCUCGCACGAGGGCUCGCACCAGGACACGCGCCGAGGCGGGCAGAGGGCCCCGCAACCCGGUUGGCAGCAAGGUUUGCUGCGGGAGUUGAGGCUGGACAGGCGCCAGGGCUUGCACGAGGACUCGCACCAAGAUUUGCAUCAGGAUCUGCCACCAGGCAGGCACCAGGGCUUGCACGAGGACUCGCACGAGCAUUUGCACCAAGGCAGGCAACCCGAGUUGCAGCCAGCACUGCAGCAGGGUUUGCACAGGGACUUGCACCAGGAUUUGCACGAGGAUUUACAGCAGGAUCUGCAGCCGGGGAGGCACCAGGCUUUGCACAAGGAUUUGGAAGAUUUGCACGAGGGGUUGCGCCAAGGAAGACAGCGGGCGUGGCAGCCAGCAUGGCAGCAGGGUUUGCACAGGGACACGUCUGAGGAUUUGCACCAGGAUUUGAGACCAGACAGGCACCAGGGCUUGCACGAGGAUUUGCAUGAAGGCUUGCACAGAGACAGCGCUCGGGAUUCGCACCCACUUUGGCACCAGCGUUUGCACGAGGACUCCCAUGGGGAUUCCCACGAGGAUUUGCACAAGGAUUCGCCCCGCUCACCGCCGGCCCCCCCUGCGUACGGUGACUCCCCCCCUGACCCCACCCACCCUUAUGGGGACGAGGACCCCGACACCUAUGGGGACCCCUAUAUGGACCUGGAGGACCCUGAGGCCUAUGGGGACCCCUACACGGCCCCCCCCCGCCCCUAUAGGGACGAAGACUCUGACGUGGGGCUGUGGGACCCUGCGGCAGAGCCCUGGGACCCCGACAUCUAUGGGGACCCCUAUAUGGACCCCUAUGGAGAUGAGGACCCCGCAAGGGGACCCUGGGACCCCUAUACCCCCCCCUCAGACCCCUAUGAGGACCCCGAGCCCGGGAGCCUCCGGAGGGGCAGGGACCCCCAAACCAGGCCUUGGGACCCUUAUGACGACCCCCAUAUGGACACCUAUAGGAUGCGAGACCCCUAUAGGGACGGGGACCCCCAGAAUGAGCCCGGGGACCCCUAUAGAGCCUCAGAGCCCGAGACUGAGCCCUGGGAUCCCCAGAGGACCUGGGACUCCCAGUUUGACCCUGGGGAUCCCUAUAGAUUUGGGGACCCCCAGCCCCAUCCCAGAGACCCCUAUAGAGUUGGGGACCCCCAGCCUGACCCCGGGGAUACCUAUAGAUUUGGGGACCCCCAGCCCCACCCCAGGGACCCCUAUAGAGUUGGGGACCCCCAGCCUGACCCCGGGGAUACCUAUAGAUUUGGGGACCCCCAGCCCCACCCCAGGGACCCCUAUAGAUCUGGGGACCCCCAGCCUGACCCUGGGGAUACCUAUAGAUUUGGGAAUCCCCAGCCCCACCCCAGGGACCCCUAUAGAGUUGGGGACCCCCAGCCUGACCCCGGGGAUACCUAUAGAUUUGGGGACCCCCAACCUCACCCCAGGGACCCCUAUAGAUCUGGGGAUCCUGAGACUGAUCCCAGGGACCCCUAUAGACUUGGGGACUCCCAGUCUGACCACAGGGACCCCUAUAGAUUUUGGGACACCCAGCCCCAUCCCAGGGACCCCUACAGGGUUGGGGAGCCCCAACCUGACUCAGGGGAUCCCUAUAGAUUUGGGGACACCCAGCCCGACCACAGGGACCCCUAUAAACUUGGGGAACCCCAACCUGAGGCCAGGGACCCCUAUAGAUUUGGGGACACCCAGCCCUAUCCCAGGGACCCCUAUAGAUUUGGGGACCCCCAGUCUGACUCCAGGGACCCCUAUAAUACAAGCCCUCCCCCAAAGCCCUAUAGGUACCCCCAAACUGCCCCCUCCAUCCCCCAGGACUCCCCCCCUACUCCCCUCCCCAGGAAUGGAGACCCCUCAACUUCCCUCCCAGCUGCCCCUCCUAAAUCCCAGUUGCCCCCAGUUGCCUCCCCCACUGUCCCCCUCAUCUCCAGAGCCCCCCCAGUUGCCUCAGUUACUACCCCCAGGGUCAACAACCCCCCAGUUGCCCCCCUAGACCCCAAAGCCCCCCCAUUUGACACAGUAACCCUCCUAGUUUCCCCC